rnacentral:rRNA from 1 species
UACGGGGGGGGGCAAGCGUUGUUCGGAAUCAUUGGGCGUAAAGCGCGUGUAGGCGGUCCGGUAAGUCCGCUGUGAAAGUCGGGGGCUCAACCCUCGGAUGCCGGUGGAUACUGUCGGGCUUGAGUACGGAAGAGGCGAGUGGAAUUCCUGGUGUAGCGGUGAAAUGCGCAGAUAUCAGGAGGAACACCAAUUGCGAAGGCAGCUCCGCUGGGACGUUACUGACGCUGAGACGCGAAAGCGUGGGGAGCAAACAGG